AAGUCGUAACAAGGUUUCCGUAGGUGAACCUGCGGAAGGAUCAUUAACACGUAUCCAAACGUUAAAAACCCUGUGAACUUUCAUGCAGCUCCCGUAACCCGCAAGGAACAGCAAUCCCGGUAAAUCAUUGUUGAACAGUUUUGAUUCGGGACCUCUGUACAGUUACGGUCGUAGCUUAGAGUCAGUGGCAUGGCUUCCCCAAGCAGUAGUGAAAUGACAUUGUCACUAUCUGUGUAAGGAUAACGCCUCACGGUUGCGAGAGGUCGAUCACCGGCCACAGGGCUAUAUGCCCCCUAACCACCCCUUGCACGAAUGUCUCGCCUAGUGGUCCACCAAAACGAACAACUGUUAACAAUGGAUAUCUUGGUUCUC
rnacentral:misc_RNA from 1 species